GAUGAACGCUGGCGGCGUGCCUAAUACAUGCAAGUCGAGCGAACAGACGAGGAGCUUGCUCCUUUGACGAUAGCGGCGGACGGGUGAGUAACACGUGGAUAACCUACCUAUAAGACUGGGAUAACUUCGGGAAACCGGAGCUAAUACCGGAUAACAUGUUGAACCGCAUGGUUCAACAGUGAAAGACGGUCUUGCUGUCACUUAUAGAUGGAUCCGCGCCGCAUUAGCUAGUUGGUAAGGUAACGGCUUACCAAGGCAACGAUGCGUAGCCGACCUGAGAGGGUGAUCGGCCACACUGGAACUGAGACACGGUCCAGACUCCUACGGGAGGCAGCAGUAGGGAAUCUUCCGCAAUGGGCGAAAGCCUGACGGAGCAACGCCGCGUGAGUGAAGAAGGUCUUCGGAUCGUAAAACUCUGUUAUUAGGGAAGAACAAAUGUGUAAGUAACUAUGCACGUCUUGACGGUACCUAAUCAGAAAGCCACGGCUAACUACGUG
rnacentral:rRNA from 1 species